rnacentral:lncRNA from 10 species
GAUUACAAAGUUAGAGAUGAAACGGUCGGGGUGAAGGAAUCCCCUCGGUCCUGGGAAAGCCCUGGAGUGUUUCCACCAGGGGACACGUUACGCAGGAAGCUGAGACUGCCCACCUGGACGCCGGUUCCUCACACCAGGGGGUCGACAAAGAAGAGGGUCCCUGUGCUGGUCCGGCUGACUGAGCCCAACAAGGGGAACUUGGAACCUGAUCACAGAAUGGGGCUAAGGGGGAGAAAUUUGGGAGGCAGGAGAUCGUCUGUAAUAUCACGUAGCUCCUCUAAGCCUUGCAGAAAACACCACUGGAAAACCAGAACCACCCCAUAAGGCAAAACUGCUAACAGCAUAGGCCUUUUGGGAAGGAACGUUUGGGUCACCCCACCAGACAGUGAACCACGACCAGCAGAGGUGCUUGCAGAGGGCAAAGGGACCACGCAGGAGUGACGGAAGAGCGUGGCCAUAAAGACUGUACCAGCCACGACCUGGUGACCGUAGAAGGGACACCCUCUGACUGUGGACCCAUGAAGUGUCCCAAACACGUCUCUCCCGACAUUGCCAACACUUGCCUUCUAAGAACCUGUUUACGGGUCAGGCCAGCCGUUGCCUCCCCAGAGAGCGACCCUGGAGCGGGAGCCGGCCUCCCUCCAUCACCCAGCUCAUCUCCUUCACGUCACUCACCACCAGCAAAGCGACUAUGCGUUCACUGGUCUGUCCCUGCCUAGUAACAUGUAAACUCCAUGAAAGGAGGGCCCUUUUCUGUCUUGCUCACUGCUGUGUCCCCUAAGUCCCUGGCUCGUCAGGACACUAGAAUACUAGGUAGCGUCCACUGGCUGGAUGAAUGUGCCUAGGAUGGGGUGCCAUGCAGUGGAAAGAGGGAAAGCAUUAGACGCACAGCCAGACAGAUGCACAUAGAAAAUAUGGGACUUGGAGAAACAGAAUGAGACACAUAAAAGAGCACCACUGGCCGGGCACAGUGGCUCACGCCUGGAAUCCCAGCACUUUGGGAGGCCAAGGCGGGAGGAUCACUUGAGCCCAGGAGUUCAACGCCAGCCCGGGACACAUGGUGGGGUCCACGUCCCCACAACCCACGAACUUGGGUGGCCGUGCGGCAUGUGGCAAACCUGAGGGGUGACUCCAAGAUGCUUCACUCUGUGUGCUGGACCGGGAGGCUGCCCCUGGCAGCUGAGCCUGCAGGCGCUCUGGCCAACCACCCGGGGUGAGCCCAGCCAUUCCUGCCGAGGGUGCACUGGCUUGGGGCAGAAGUCUCUGGAUGGCUCCAGCCUGUCCCGCGGAGCCGGCCCCACCACUCACGUCUUCCCACCGGAGGCCAGCACCUCGAGGAGCAGAGAGGAGCUGUCCCCGAGUGCCCUGAGUUCCUGACCCACAGGACACAGGAACACAGGAACGCUGCUGUUGGACAGCACUGAAGCUGGGCGGUUUGCUACACACCCAGAGACAGCUGAGCAGACAGAGGGAGAAGAGUAGGGUCACGCUGGCAGCUGGACAAGGGAAGUACUGGGGGGACAGAGGGACUGGCAGGGGUUGGUGCAGACCAGGUGAGAAAGGGCACGAAGUGGGACAAGGUCCCGGUGAGAGGCACGACACUGUCACCUGCCUCAGGCCGCGCUCGGUGGGGCGGGGGCCACCAGCUGAGGCCCCUCCUGCCGCCCAGACAGCUCGGCCCCCUGCGGCCCCAGCCCUGCAGGCUGAGAUCCCGCAACGACUCCCACCCCUGGGCUG